CGCAGGGAGUAUGGCAGGGAGACGCAGAGUCUCAUUCUCUUCGGGGAACCAUGGUUACAUAUGUAACCUCAAGACGAUAUUAUCGGUAAAG